CACAAUUGAUAAGAGAGGGACAACUUUUAAUGUCUGAAGAUGAUAUUUCAGUGUUUCAAGCUACUGCAAAUGGAAAUAUGACAGGAACUAGAAGUAAGCAUGUGAACAAUAAAGCAAGGUACUGUAUCUUGGCAAUGCAGAGAAAUUGAGGAUUUUUCCUAAUGACAGCAAAUAAGAAAGCAAAAUGAAUAUGUAUGAAGUUUUGAGGAAGUGUUAUUAGUGUAGUGUUCCUGUGUUAAAAACUAUUAUUAAAUAUGCAUAUCUGAAGUAUAUUUAUGUCUGCAAUUCUGUGAAUUUCGGUAGAUAGCAUACAAAGUUUGGGUGGGAGUGUUAAUGGAUGCAAUCAGUAAUAUAUUUUAAAUCAUAUAAAAAUGAAUUUAGUGCUUGCUGUAUCUAAUGUUUGUUAUGCAGUUUUGUUUUUUAAAAUCAUUUUGUGAUAGGUUUUGACUUUGCAUUGAUUAGGCUGCAUUGAAGCUCCCAGUUUUGUCAUUCUUCAUGCAGAAUCCAGGCUAUGGGAAAGUAAAAGAAGGAAAGAGAGAAAUCAUAAAAUUCAUCACUAAAAUACUGAAGAAUGUUAAUUGAUGUCUAGAAGAUGAAGAAAGAAAAAGUUUUAUCAUUGAAGGCCAACUCUCAGAAAGGGGUUAAGGAUGGAGCCUGCCAACUUCAUUAGGCCUCUCCAGAGCUAGCUUUUUCAAUGAGAAAGAGAAAGAGUGGCUGAAUGCUGAAAAGAUGUAAUCACCGAAUUCUGUUUUCUGACAAUUAGAAUGUGAUAAGAACUAGCCUUUCAGUAUCCAGAGUGUAAUGGAGCUGAUCAUAGAUUUUACAGAGAAAUGAAAACAGUAAUAAAGGACUGGGUAAUAUGUUUUUUCAAAGGCAGAAUUUAUAUGUUUACCUGAAAGUGUAGCAUUCAGAGAGUUACAGUCUUAACAGAGUUCUUGUAAACAAAUUUGCUGAUAAUUUAUGUACAGUUUCCUAGACACACGACUUCCUUCCCAACAGAAUUUUCAACAUGAAUAAAAGUGGUUACUGCACUGACCCCAGUAACUUGUUUAGGAUGAUUGCAGAAUAGGACAGAUAAUUUGUGGGUAAAAUUGUGUCCACAUAUUGUGGACAACUGGUCACUGUUGUUUACUGGUUAAGAAAUUCUAUUGUUAUCUCAUCAGCUAAGAUACCUUGCAAUAGAAGAAUGUACAAGUAUGAUGAAUUGUAUUCUGUCACUGGAACUCUACCACUGAUGUCUAAUACAUGAUAUAUGAAAAGAGAUCUUUCCAUUCAGUAGCUGAAUCAUUUUUUAAAUAACAUCAGGGCAAUAGAAACUGACCCAUUGCUAGUUGUUUUUGGCAAACACAUUCCAUUGCAGCCUGGAAGCAGUAAUAUUCUACAGAGAGAACAGUGUAACUAUGUUAAGCCUUCCUUCUCAUGCAUCACACAAGCUUCAGUCUCUGUGCUUUAGCUCUUUUGAGCCCUUGAAAUUGGCAUACAUACAAAAUCUGAUGCCCUUUUCCCCCCCCCCAAUCAGGCAAAUGAACCAGUACCACAAAGGAAUGUCAUUUGCUAAUUUAAGAGAACUGAGGGUAGCCAAACUAGGUAAAGUUGAGAACAGCUUCAGAGACCAUGGUAUUUUUUCCUUUAGUCCUGCACACGUUUCAUUUUGUUUUGAACACUGUUGAGAAAGAAGCAGUGUAAUUGCAGCAUUACAAGAGGAUGAGGUAUUGCCAAAAUUGUCAGCCCGAACUAAUGAUACUGCAUCUGUAAAUAUCCCUGCCUGCUGUAUGCCAUUCCACACUGAAAGUACAUGCAUUUCUAACAACCAAGUUCCCUCAAAUUCAAGCAGAUAUGAGCAAGAAAAUAGAGGUGCAGAUUUGUCAGAAAAUCCUUAUAGAAAGUCUGCAGAAGAAAGUGUUCGAGAAAAUGCUUCUGAAGAGAUGGAGAAGACUAUGGUAUGCAGAAGGAAUGUUGCAGAAAUACACCAGUCUGGCGAAACUCUUUCCUUUGUGAUUAAUGUUAUGAACAAAGAAUGACUGUACUGGUGAGGACCAGCAGCAAUUUACCCAACCCUGGCAGUAGUAGUUGCAUGGAUCCCAGAGUCUAAAGACAGAAAAAUAUGGUCUCUACUCCCGUGGAACCCAGAACCAAGAUUGACUAUGCUGACAAGUGUCAGCGGCAAUUUACCCAGAACUGAAAUCAGAAGUCAUGAGAUGGAUGAAUAUGGCCAUGAGUUCCACGGGACCUGAAACCAGGAAUGGCUGUGCUGGUGAAGAUCAGCAGCAAUUUACCAAAAACUGAAAAUGAAACCCAGAAUGACUGUACUGGCAAAAUCCAGCAGCAGUUUAGCAGAUCAGAGUUGUUUCAAGUGGUCAGUCAGAAAAGGUAACGCAAAUAUUCAACAAAGAAAAUUUUAAUCAUGAAGUUAUGCAGGUAUCAGAUGAAGAGAGGCUAUACAGAAUUCUGUGGUAUAAUCUGGAUGUGAUUAGUGCAUUAAUUAAUAGGAAAACAUGAAAUGAGCAAGUUUUCAUGAAUUGAAAGAAGGGACAUUUAGGAAACAGAAUCAAUGAGCUGGAAACAAUAAGAAUAAAAAUAUAAAUUUUUAUUGAGGCUUAAAUGAAUUUGAAGAGUGUUCUAUGCAGUGACAUAAGAAGGAAGUCUUUUUCAGUGACACAGAGCAAAUUAAAAACCAUACAGUGCCAUUGUGUGAAACCUGAAUCUUAUUUGUAUGUGAUAUGAAGCAUAUGUAGCUUAGCUGAAAUUUAAGGGACCUGUGUAUAUUGUAUUCUGUAGAAUUUUACACAACUAAUCCUGCACUUCCUGAAGUUUACUUGUCCUAUAUCAUGUAAGAAUGAUCUGUAGAGACGAAAUAAAUAAAUAAAUAAAUAGA